rnacentral:rRNA from 1 species
AACGAACGCUGGCGGCAGGCUUAACACAUGCAAGUCGAGCGCCCCGCAAGGGGAGCGGCAGACGGGUGAGUAACGCGUGGGAAUCUACCCAUCUCUACGGAAUAACGCAUGGAAACGUGUGCUAAUACCGUAUACGUCCUUCGGGAGAAAGAUUUAUCGGAGAUGGAUGAGCCCGCGUUGGAUUAGCUAGUUGGUGGGGUAAAGGCCUACCAAGGCGACGAGCCAUAGCUGGUCUGAGAGGAUGAUCAGCCACACUGGACAGAGACACGGCCCAGACUCCUACGGGAGGCAGCAGUGGGGAAUAUUGGACAAUGGGCGCAAGCCUGAUCCAGCCAUGCCGCGUGAGUGAUGAAGGCCCUAGGGUUGUAAAGCUCUUUCACCGGUGAAGAUAAUGACGGUAACCGGAGAAGAAGCCCCGGCUAACUUCGUGCCAGCAGCCGCCGCCGUAA